rnacentral:rRNA from 1 species
AGUGAACGCUGGCGGUAGGCCUAACACAUGCAAGUCGAACGGCAGCACAGUAAGAGCUUGCUCUUACGGGUGGCGAGUGGCGGACGGGUGAGGAAUACAUCGGAAUCUACUUUUUCGUGGGGGAUAACGUAGGGAAACUUACGCUAAUACCGCAUACGACCUACGGGUGAAAGCAGGGGAUCUUUGGACCUUGCGCGAUUGAAUGGGCCGAUGUCGGAUUAGCUAGUUGGCGGGGUAAAGGCCCACCAAGGCGACGAUCCGUAGCUGGUCUGAGAGGAUGAUCAGCCACACUGGAACUGAGACACGGUCCAGACUCCUACGGGAGGCAGCAGUGGGGAAUAUUGGACAAUGGGCGCAAGCCUGAUCCAGCCAUACCGCGUGGGUGAAGAAGGCCUUCGGGUUGUAAAGCCCUUUUGUUGGGAAAGAAAAGCAGCAGGUUAAUACCCCGCUGUUCUGACGGUACCCAAAGAAUAAGCACCGGCUAACUUCGU